ensembl:snoRNA LOC120094461 small nucleolar RNA SNORA44
AUUCAUUUUUUAAAGACAAGGUUGGGGAGCUAAACACUUUUAACUUUUAGAGUUAAAAGCACUGGCUUCAUCUCCAACUGCAUGCCAGAGUAACGGAGAGACUUUGACAGCCCAGGUUAUCACAGUGCCUGCUGUUGCCACUCAGCUCUCCUAUAUGU